AUCAAACAGGAGCACACAGUUGGUAGAAAGGACAAAGAAAGAGAAGACUGUUUUAAUUACUUACAUUAUAUAAAUGUGGGAAAAUGCUGGACAAGAGGAAACAUUUUCUGAGUCAUAGAACAUGUGAAUGGACCCAGAAGAAUUCAGAAUAACAAUGAAGAAAGUUGCCUAAGUCUGGCCCACUUAGAGUGCCAGCUGCCUAACAACCGAGAAAAAGAAGAGCAAAAGGAUUUUCAGCGCUUUGGCUUCAGAUGUUUUUCAUCUGAAAGAAUACUAUUUAAUCUGGUGGAACAGCAUGAUGGAACAGCAGCUGCUGUAACUGCAGACAAGAAGCAAAUGUGCAAAGAUAUAUUCAUAUUUCUA